rnacentral:rRNA from 1 species
GAGGCGUGAUGACGAGGCACCACGGUGCUGAAGCAACAAAUGCCCUGCUUCCAGGAAAAGCCUCUAAGCCUCAGGUAACAUCAAAUCGUACCCCAAACCGACACAGGUGGUCAGGUAGAGAAUACCAAGGCGCUUGAGAGAACUCGGGUGAAGGAACUAGGCAAAAUGGUGCCGUAACUUCGGGAGAAGGCACGCUGACACGUAGGUGAAGUGGUUUACCCAUGGAGCUGAAGUCAGUCGAAGAUACCAGCUGGCUGCAACUGUUUAUUAAAAACACAGCACUGUGCAAACACGAAAGUGGACGUAUACGGUGUGACGCCUGCCCGGUGCCGGAAGGUUAAUUGAUGGGGUCAGCGCAAGCGAAGCUCCUGAUCGAAGCCCCGGUAAACGGCGGCCGUAACUAUAACGGUCCUAAGGUAGCGAAAUUCCUUGUCGGGUAAGUUCCGACCUGCACGAAUGGCGUAAUGAUGGCCAGGCUGUCUCCACCCGGGACUCAGUGAAAUUGAACUCGCUGUGAAGAUGCAGUGUACCCGCGGCAAGACGGAAAGACCCCGUGAACCUUUACUAUAGCUUGACACUGAACACUGGUCCUUGAUGUGCAGGAUAGGUGGGAGGCUUUGAAGUGUGGACGCCAGUCUGCAUGGAGCCAUCCUUGAAAUACCACCCUUUAAUGGCUGGUGUUCUAACGUGGGCCCGUGAACCGGGUUGCGGACAGUGUCUGGUGGGUAGUUUGACUGGGGCGGUCUCCUCCUAAAGAGUAACGGAGGAGCACGAAGGUUGGCUAAUCCUGGUCGGACAUCAGGAGGUUAGUGCAAUGGCAUAAGCCAGCUUGACUGCGAGCGUGACGGCGCGAGCAGGUGCGAAAGCAGGUCAUAGUGAUCCGGUGGUUCUGAAUGGAAGGGCCAUCGCUCAACGGAUAAAAGGUACUCCGGGGAUAACAGGCUGAUACCGCCCAAGAGUUCAUAUCGACGGCGGUGUUUGGCACCUCGAUGUCGGCUCAUCACAUCCUGGGGCUGAAGUAGGUCCCAAGGGUAUGGCUGUUCGCCAUUUAAAGUGGUACGCGAGCUGGGUUUAGAACGUCGUGAGACAGUUCGGUCCCUAUCUGCCGUGGGCGCUGGAAGAUUGAGGGGGGCUGCUCCUAGUACGAGAGGACCGGAGUGGACGCAUCACUGGUGUUCGGGUUGUCAUGCCAAUGGCACUGCCCGGUAGCUACAUGCGGAAGAGAUAAGUGCUGAAAGCAUCUAAGCACGAAACUUGCCCCGAGAUGAAUCUUCCCUGAGCCUUUAAGGCUCCUGAAGGAACGUUGAAGACGACGACGUUGAUAGGCCGGGUGUGUAAGCGCAGCGAUGCGUUGAGCUAACCGGUACUAAUGAACCGUGAGGCUUAACCUUACA